rnacentral:rRNA from 1 species
GCCAGCGGCGAUAGCAUGUUGAAUGCAGCAGUUCCCAUUAGAUCACUGAAGUUAAGCAACGCUGCGCUUGCUAUCCCGAUGAAUGACCAUCUGGAUGAUCGCGUGCUGGCU